rnacentral:rRNA from 1 species
UACGUAGGGUGCAAGCGUUGUCCGGAAUUACUGGGCGUAAAGAGCUCGUAGGUGGUUUGUCGCGUUGUUCGUGAAAACUCACAGCUCAACUGUGGGCGUGCGGGCGAUACGGGCAGACUAGAGUACUGCAGGGGAGACUGGAAUUCCUGGUGUAGCGGUGAAAUGCGCAGAUAUCGGGAAGAACACCCGUGGCGAAGGCGGCUCUCUGGGACGGUACAGACGCUGAGACGCGAAAGCGUGGGGAGCGAACAGG